rnacentral:tRNA from 1 species
AGGAAGUAGUUUAUUAAAAUAUUAAUUUUGGAGAUUAAAGAUAGAAAUUUUUCUUUUCCUGAA